rnacentral:lncRNA from 1 species
CGGGGGUCAUCGCCCGCCGGGGGCGGCGGGCUGCGGGCGGGCUGGGGCGGCAGAGCCGUGGCAUCCCCUGGAAGCGGACUGUGCGUGCCCUCCGACCCGGCCCGCGGUGGGGUCAGACCCCUCCGAGGACGAGCUCCUCUCCCCUGUUUUCCUUCCUCCGCCCCGUGCCGGGAGCCUGCACGGGGCUUCGCUCGCCGCGGGGCGGAGGAAAAUCCGUCUGACUCGUCAGUCAGAACGGAGAAUCGAGAAGUUCAAUCCCGGCGCGCCCAGAGGAGCCGGCCAGUUCCAGCCCGCUGUCACCGCUGGCGUUCCGGAGCACGGACGGACUGACAGACUGACGGAUGUGCAGCACUGGAAACCAACAUCAACUUCAAUAAACCAUGUAAUGGAGGCAGUUCUGGAUUUCUGAAAGGGCUCAGAGUAUCUGCAGUAGUGAAUGUUAUCUGGGGAUCAGGAGGGAAGAGAUGGGAGAAAAGAGUGGUAUUGAAGAAAAGUAAGUUUACUCUUUAUACCCAUAGUAAAGAAACAAUCACAAGCACACAUCCUUAGAAGGAUAUAUUAAUCAUUGUACAUAAAGUCCAGAGAGGGAAAAGUUUUACAUCACUUUGUACGCUGAAAUUCAGAUUCUUUUGUUUGGAAAGCUUUCGAGUAUAUUAAUAUUUGCAUGGAUGAUGACAGUGUGAGCACCAGACCCUGGUGUCACACUCACUGACAGAGAGUGGGGAAUACUUUGACUGCAGUUUAAACAUGAUGCAUAUGGGCACAAGGUGGUUCUAAGUUUAGAAUUUGCAGCUAUAUGCUGCUUUAUGUGAGUGAAUAUCCUAUUUCCAGAUGUAAUGCUCAAUUACAGAUAGUAAUUGGUAUCUGUGAAUUACUGAACAGGAGCCCUUUUCUUCACCAGGCAACAUUUAAGCCCUGUUGCUGCAGAGAGCUGGCGUGAGAGAGUCUGAGGGUGAGAGCUCACUGGAGGGUUAGGACUGAAGAUUGCUUUGCACCAGAGCAGCUUCUUCAGCACUACUUUGUGUGGAAAGAUUCAAUCAUUUCCAUCCAAAGCAAUAAAAUAAAAAGCUCAGUCA